UCCUGUUUUUCAUACACUGGAUGAAAAAGGUCUGAUAUCCAAUUUUUCGGAGCUCGUCUAUGAACCAUGCAUAAGGAUUAGAAGGACGUAGAUGACGUAUAACUACAAGAAAACCCCUAUCAGCUUGCGCCUGGUGUGUGUGCGCCAUUUUCUACGAGGAAUUGCUUUAUUAUUUUAUAAGAAUUCAUGUCAACAGUAUUAAUUUGUUCCCCAUUUCAUGUUGUAGUUCUAGUUUUAUAGCUAGAAAUGCCCGGCCUGUAAUUAAAUUUUUCCAGUAGCGGCACUACAGGAGCACGAGACGCAUAUGUGGCAGAUAUGUGUAGAUUUUAAUUUUUUAUUUGUGCAUAUGUUUGUUAAUUGUGUUUUUUAAUUUUGUUUCAGAGUUUCGUCCCUCGCCGAAGUCAAGUCAGAGGGAAUUGGACAGGAGUCAAAACGCUAUUUUGGCAUCACACCAGUAGGGAUAUGUCAAGGAGCCAGGAAACAUUUGAGACAGUCUCAACCCUCAUCAUAGCUUCGUCAGCUGGAUCUGGACAGGAGCACGAGACGCAUCUGUGGCAGAUAUGUGUAGAUUUUAAUUUUUAAUUUAAUUGUGAUUUUUUUAUUAUAUUUCAGUGUUUUGUCCCUCGCCGCAGUCAAAUCAGAGGGAAUCGGACAGGAGUCAAAACGCGGUUUUGGCAGUCUCAUCUCUCGCCGCAGUCACACCAGUAGGGAUUUGUCUGGGAGCCAGAAGGCAUUUGAGGCUGCUUGGUCAGCUGGAUCUGGACAGGGAGCAAGAGACGCGUCUGUUGUAAAUAUGUGAAGAUUUUAAUUUUUAUAUUUGUGCAUAUACUUGUUAAUUGUGUUUUUUAUUAUGUUUCACAGUUUCGUCCCUCGCGGCAGUCAAGUCGGAGGGAAUCAGACAGGAGUCGGACGCUAUUUUGGCAGAGUUUUCGUCCCUCGCCGCAGUCAAAUCAGAGGGAAUUGGACAGGAAUCGGGACGCAGUUUUGGC